UACGUAGGGUGCAAGCGUUGUCCGGAAUUAUUGGGCGUAAAGAGCUCGUAGGCGGUUUGUCGCGUCUGCUGUGAAAACUCAGGGCUUAACCCUGAGCCUGCAGUGGGUACGGGCAGACUAGAGUGUGGUAGGGGAGAUCGGAAUUCCUGGUGUAGCGGUGGAAUGCGCAGAUAUCAGGAGGAACACCGGUGGCGAAGGCGGGAUCUCUGGGCCAUAACUGACGCUGGAGGAGCGAAAGCAUGGGGAGCGAACAGGA
rnacentral:rRNA from 1 species